rnacentral:misc_RNA from 1 species
AAGUCGUAACAAGGUUUCCGUAGGUGAACCUGCGGAAGGAUCAUUAUUGAAAAUAGCUGCUACGUCCUGAUAGUAGAAGGCGAAGGAUUCGAAUCCGAUGUACCCUCUACGAUUCUUGGACCAAUUGCUCUCUCACGAGAGGUAGCAACUUAAUUCAACCACUUGUGAAUUUGUAAUUUAUUUUACCAACUGACUGUUAACGAAGACUGAUUCAAUAACUUGUUGGUGUUUAAAGACACUAAUACAAUCAUUGAAACAACUUUUGGCAACGGAUCUCUUGGCUCUC